GCUGAUGUGGCUCAGGGGUAGAGCAGCGCACUCGUAAUGCGCAGGUCGAGGGUUCGAAUCCCUCCAUCAGCU
rfam:Clostridiales bacterium PH28_bin88 ph28_547, whole genome shotgun sequence.